rnacentral:rRNA from 1 species
GAUGAACGCUGGCGGCGUGCCUAAUACAUGCAAGUCGAGCGAACAGACGAGGAGCUUGCUCCUCUGACGUUAGCGGCGGACGGGUGAGUAACACGUGGAUAACCUACCUAUAAGACUGGGAUAACUUCGGGAAACCGGAGCUAAUACCGGAUAUUAUAUUGAACCGCAUGGUUCAAUAGUGAAAGACGGUUUUGCUGUCACUUAUAGAUGGAUCCGCGCCGCAUUAGCUAGUUGGUAAGGUAACGGCUUACCAAGGCAACGAUGCGUAGCCGACCUGAGAGGGUGAACGGCCAACCUGGAACUGAGACACGGUCCCGGCUCCUACGGGAGGCAGCAGUAGGGAAUCUUCCGCAAUGGGCGAAAGCCUGAAGGAGCAACGCCGCGUGAGGGAUGAAGGUCUUCGGAUCGUAAAACUCUGUUAUUAGGGAAGAACAAAUGUGUAAGUAACUAUGCACGUCUUGACGGUACCUAAUCAGAAAGCCACGGCUAACUACGUG